rnacentral:lncRNA from 1 species
CUCGAGAAACCUAAAAAUUCUACCCUUACGCUUAUAGAAGGUAGCGAAAGGAGUAGAGAUCAAAUGUAAAAAUGAGAAUAAGAAAAUUAACUCUUAAGGCUCAAUAUUGUUAAAAGGAAAUCAAAUUCUGCUGACACGAAACUAAAGAAAUGAGGAAUAGACAACGCAACAUCAAGAUAAAAAACAAACAAAGAAAUUAAUGGAUUCAAAAUUAAUUUUCUAGAACACACGUAUAGUAGACAUAUAACACGAAAACAUAAAAGAUAAAUAAGAAGAACAACGCAAAAUUUGAGAGAAUAGGGAAUAUGGAGAAAACUUAUUGAAGAACUAAUUCCCAAUAAACUUCUCUUGACCAGGGGAAACCUGAAAAUUCUACCCUUACGCUUAAAGCAAGGUAGAGAAAGGAGUAGAGAUCAAAUUUUAAAACCACAAUGUACUUGAAAGUAAAUAAAAUUAUUUUGAUAAGAAACUAAAGAAAUGAGAAAUAGAAAACACAACAUAGAGCAAUAAAAAAAAACAAUGAAAUCAAAGGAUUGAAAAUUCAUUAUCCACUAGAUACACGCAGUGAACAAAUAACACUCAAACAUAAAAAAAAAAAGAAUGAAGAACAAUGCGAAAUGGUGGAGAAUAGGGGAUACAGAGAAAACUUACCUGACAAAUAUUUCCAAACAAACCACUCUUUUCCUCGGGAAACCUAAAAAAUUCUACACUUAUGCUUAUAGAAUGUAGCGAAAUGAGUAGAUAUCAAAAGUAAAAACGAGAAUAAGAAAAUUAAUUCUUAAGGCGCAAUAUCGUUGAAAGGAAAUCAAAUUAUGCAAAUACAAAACUAAAGAAAUGAGGAAUAGACAACGCAAGAUCAAGAUAAAAAACAACCAAAGAAAUUAACGGAUUCAAAAUUAAUUUUCUAGUACACAGAUACAGUAGACAUAUAACAUGAAAACAUACAAGAUAAAUAUGAAGAACAUUGCAAAAUUUGAGAGAAUAGGGAAUACGGAGGAAACUUAUCCAAGAACUAAUUCUCAAUAAACUUUCCUUCACAACGGGAAACCUGAAAAUUCUACCCUUUCGCUUAAAGCAAGGUACAGAAAGGAUUAGAGAUCAAAUGUUAAAACCACAAUGUCCUUGAAAGUAAAUAAAAUUAUUUUGAUAAGAAACUAAAGAAAUGAGCAAUAGAAAACACAACAUAGAGCUCUAAAAAAAACAAUGAAAUCAAAGGAUUGAAAAUUCAUUCUCUACUACAUACACGUAGUCAACAAAUAACACUCAAACAAAAUAGAGACGAAUGAAGAACAAUGCGAAAUGGAGGAGAAUAGGUGAUACAAACAAACUACUCUUUUCCU